AAAGGAAUUGACGGGGGCCCGCACAAGCGGAGGAGCAUGUGGUUUAAUUCGAUGAUACGCGAGGAACCUUACCUAGACUUGAACGUAUUUGGAAUGAAGUAGAAAUAUUUCAGUCAGCAAUGACCAAUUACGAGGUGCUGCAUGGUUGUCGUCAGCUCGUGCCGUGAGGUGUUAGGUUAAGUCCUGCAACGAGCGCAACCCUUACCGUUAGUUACCAGCAUGUUGAGGUGGGGACUCUAGCGGAACUGCCGGCGCAAGCCGCGAGGAAGGUGGGGAUGACGUCAAAUCAGCACGGCCCUUACGUCUAGGGCGACACACGUGCUACAAUGGGCGGUACAGAGGGCAGCUACACCGCGAGGUGAUGCUAAUCUCAAAAGCCGUUCUCAGUUCGGAUUGGAGUCUGCAACCCGACUCCAUGAAGUUGGAUUCGCUAGUAAUCGCGCAUCAGCCAUGGCGCGGUGAAUACGUUCCCGGGCCUUGUACACACCGCCCGU
rnacentral:rRNA from 1 species